UACGUAGGGGGCAAGCGUUGUCCGGAUUUAUUGGGCGUAAAGAGCGUGUAGGCGGUUUGGUAGGUCCGCUGUGAAAACUCGAGGCUCAACUUCGAGACGCCGGUGGAAACCAUCAGACUAGAGUCCGGAAGAGGAGAGUGGAAUUCCUGGUGUAGCGGUGAAAUGCGCAGAUAUCAGGAAGAACACCGAUGGCGAAGGCAGGUCUCUGGGCAUUAACUGACGCUGAGGAGCGAAAGCAUGGGGAGCGAACAGG
rnacentral:rRNA from 1 species